GGAGGAAAAGAAACCAACAGGGAUUGCCUUAGUAGCGGCGAGUGAAGCGGCAAAAGCUCAAAUUUGAAAUCUGGCACUUUCAGUGUCCGAGUUGUAAUUUGAAGAAGGUAUCUUUGGGUCUGGCUCUUGUCUAUGUUUCUUGGAACAGAACGUCACAGAGGGUGAGAAUCCCGUGCGAUGAGAUGACCCAGACCUAUGUAAAGUUCCUUCGAAGAGUCGAGUUGUUUGGGAAUGCAGCUCUAAGUGGGUGGUAAAUUCCAUCUAAAGCUAAAUAUUGGCGAGAGACCGAUAGCGAACAAGUACAGUGAUGGAAAGAUGAAAAGAACUUUGAAAAGAGAGUGAAAAAGUACGUGAAAUUGUUGAAAGGGAAGGGCUUGAGAUCAGACUUGGUAUUUUGUAUGUUACUCUCUCGGGGGUGGCCUCUACAGUUUACCGGGCCAGCAUCAGUUUGGGCGGUAGGACAAUUGCAAAGAAAUGUGGCACUGCCUCGGUAGUGUGUUAUAGUCUUUGUCGAUACUGCCAGCCUAGACUGAGGACUGCGGCUUCGGCCUAGGAUGUUGGCAUAAUGAUCUUAAGUCGCCCGUCU
rnacentral:rRNA from 1 species